rnacentral:rRNA from 1 species
AUGGACAUCAAGGAGCGGAUCCGCCGCUCGCCGCGGGAGGAGGAGGCGCCCGUGGCGGCGCCUCCGCGCGGGAGGAAGGGCGGGGCGGCGAUGCUGCUGCUGCGGUGGUCCCUGCCGGCCGCGGCGCUCGUGGUCUGCGCCGUCCUCCUCCUCAUGCUCGCCGGGGGCUCCGCCGCGCGGAGGGGCCGGCUCCUCGACGCGGAUCCCUCCGUGGGCGUCGUUGCCCGCGAUGACCCGCGCCUCGUCCGUCCGCGAGAUGAAGAUGGCACCUCAGGAUCUCCGGAAGUUGUCAAGGACAAAUUACUUGGAGGCUUGCUAGUUCCUGGUUUUGAUGAACAAUCAUGCCUAAGUAGAUACCAAUCAGUACUGUAUCGUCGAAUAUCGCCCCGCUUUCCGUCUACCUACCUCUUGGAAAGAUUAAGGGAACAAGAGGCCCUCCAGAAAAAGUGUGGCCCGCAUACUGAAUUAUACAGGAAAGCUAUUGCGCAGCUUAAGUCUGGUCAGGAUAUUAAGGUUAUGGACUGCAACUAUCUGGUCUGGACAGCUUACAGUGGUCUGGGGAACAGGAUCUUGACAAUUGCCUCGGCAUUUCUGUAUGCCAUCCUUACAAACAGAGUCUUACUUGUCGACGGAGACAAAGGCACCGCAGAUCUCUUCUGCGAACCAUUUCCGGAAACUUCAUGGUUGCUACCGUCAGAUUUCCCCAUUAAGCAGUUCAAGAACUUCAGUGUUGUCUCUCCCGAGAGUUACGGAAACAAGCUGAAGAGUAAAGUUGUUCAUCAUUCUAGGCCUGCUUUUGUCUAUCUUCAUUUGGCUCAUGACUAUAGUGACUAUGAUAAGCUUUUCUUCUGUGAAGAUAAUCAGCAUUAUCUCCAAACGAUCCCAUGGCUGAUCCUCAAAUCAGACAAUUACUUUGUACCUUCACUUUUCCUGAUCCCGGCAUACCAAGAGCAACUCAUGAGGCUUUUCCCCCAGAGAGAUGCUGUUUUCCAUCACUUGGGACGUUACUUGUUUCACCCUACCAAUGCGGUCUGGGGCAUGAUUACAAGAUACUAUGAUUCUUAUCUUGCCAGAGCUGAUGAGAAGUUGGGUAUCCAGAUCAGAGUCUUCGACACCGAAACUGGCCCGUUUCAGCAUGUCCUGGAUCAGGUCCUUGCAUGUACAUUCAAGGAACACUUGUUGCCAGAGGUUAACACUCAGGAGCCAAUUGUCUCACCAAGCAAGGCCAGGUCGAAAGUUGUUCUAGUUACUUCUUUAAACUCAGGAUACUACGAAGAAUUCAGAAACAUGUACUGGGAACAUCCUACGGCAAAUGGCGAGACAAUUAGCUUCCAUCAGCCAAGCCACGAGGAACAUCAAGACUCAGACAAGAAAAUGCACAACAGGAAAGCCUGGGCAGAGAUAUAUCUGUUAAGCUUAUCUGAUGUCAUGGUGACCAGUGCAUGGUCAACUUUUGGGUAUGUUGCCCAGGGGCUCAGUGGUUUGAAGCCAUGGCUUCUGUUCAAGCCCGAAAACCGCACUGCCCCUGAUCCGCCUUGCCGCCAAGUUUUGUCCAUGGAACCAUGCUUUCAUGCUCCACCUUUCUAUGAUUGCAAGGCUAAGAGAGGAACUGAUACGGGAAAACUUGUCCCGCAUGUAACACAUUGUGAAGAUAUGAGCUGGGGGCUUAAGCUAGUCGAUCAGAGUUAG